rnacentral:rRNA from 1 species
AUUGAACGCUGGCGGCAGGCCUAACACAUGCAAGUCGAGCGGGGUGAUGGUGCUUGCACUAUCACUUAGCGGCGGACGGGUGAGUAAUGCUUAGGAAUCUGCCUAUUAGUGGGGGACAACAUCUCGAAAGGGAUGCUAAUACCGCAUACGUCCUACGGGAGAAAGCAGGGGAUCACUUGUGACCUUGCGCUAAUAGAUGAGCCUAAGUCGUGAUUAGCUAGUUGGUGGGGUAAAGGCCUACCAAGGCGACGAUCUGUAGCGGGUCUGAGAGGAUGAUCCGCCAAACUGGGACUGAGAGAGGGCCCAGAGUCCUACGGGAGGCAGCAGUGGGGAAUAUUGGACAAUGGGAGGAACCCUUAUCUAGCCAUGCCGCGUGUGUGAAGAAGGCCUUAUGGUUGUAAAGCACUUUAAGCGAGUAGGAGGCUCUUUUGGUUAAUACCGAAGAUGAGUGGACGUUACUCGCAGAAUAAGCACCGGCUAACUCUGUGCCAGCAGCCGCCGUAA